ACUGACCUCGGAUCAGGUAGGG
rnacentral:rRNA from 1 species